GAUGAACGCUGGCGGCGUGCCUAAUACAUGCAAGUCGAGCGAACGGACGAGAAGCUUGCUUCUCUGAUGUUAGCGGCGGACGGGUGAGUAACACGUGGAUAACCUACCUAUAAGACUGGGAUAACUUCGGGAAACCGGAGCUACUACCGGAUAAUAUUUUGAACCGCAUGGUUCAAAAGUGAAAGACGGUCUUGCUGUCACUUAUAGAUGGAUCCGCGCUGCAUUAGCUAGUUGGUAAGGUAACGGCUUACCAAGGCAACGAUGCAUAACCGACCUGAGAGGGUGAUCGGGCAAAACGGAAACUAAGAAAGGUCCAGGACUCUAAGGGAGGGCGGAGUAAGGAAACUUUCGGAAAGGGCGAAAGGCUGAAGGAGGAAAGGCGGGGGAGGGAAUAAGGGCUUUGGAUAGGAAAACUCUGUUAUUAGGGAAGAACAUAUGUGUAAGUAACUGUGCACAUCUUGACGGUACCUAAUCAGAAAGCCACGGCUAACUACGUG
rnacentral:rRNA from 1 species